rnacentral:sRNA from 1 species
GCCGGGCAUGGUGGUGCAUACCUGUAAUCCCAGUGGCUCAGGGGUUGAGACAGGAGGAUUCGAAGUUCAAAGUCAGCUUCAGCAAAAGUGAGGCACUAAGCAACUCAGUGAGAUCCUGUCUCUA